rnacentral:rRNA from 1 species
GUGUACGUACAAGCAGUGGGAGCACGCUUAGGCGUGUGACUGCGUACCUUUUGUAUAAUGGGUCAGCGACUUAUAUUCUGUAGCAAGGUUAACCGAAUAGGGGAGCCGAAGGGAAACCGAGUCUUAACUGGGCGUUAAGUUGCAGGGUAUAGACCCGAAACCCGGUGAUCUAGCCAUGGGCAGGUUGAAGGUUGGGUAACACUAACUGGAGGACCGAACCGACUAAUGUUGAAAAAUUAGCGGAUGACUUGUGGCUGGGGGUGAAAGGCCAAUCAAACCGGGAGAUAGCUGGUUCUCCCCGAAAGCUAUUUAGGUAGCGCCUCGUGAAUUCAUCUCCGGGGGUAGAGCACUGUUUCGGCAAGGGGGUCAUCCCGACUUACCAACCCGAUGCAAACUGCGAAUACCGGAGAAUGUUAUCACGGGAGACACACGGCGGGUGCUAACGUCCGUCGUGAAGAGGGAAACAACCCAGACCGCCAGCUAAGGUCCCAAAGUCAUGGUUAAGUGGGAAACGAUGUGGGAAGGCCCAGACAGCCAGGAUGUUGGCUUAGAAGCAGCCAUCAUUUAAAGAAAGCGUAAUAGCUCACUGGUCGAGUCGGCCUGCGCGGAAGAUGUAACGGGGCUAAACCAUGCACCGAAGCUGCGGCAGCGACGCUGAUGCGUUGUUGGGUAGGGGAGCGUUCUGUAAGCCUGUGAAGGUGUGCUGUGAGGCAUGCUGGAGGUAUCAGAAGUGCGAAUGCUGACAUAAGUAACGAUAAAGCGGGUGAAAAGCCCGCUCGCCGGAAGACCAAGGGUUCCUGUCCAACGUUAAUCGGGGCAGGGUGAGUCGACCCCUAAGGCGAGGCCGAAAGGCGUAGUCGAUGGGAAACAGGUUAAUAUUCCUGUACUUGGUGUUACUGCGAAGGGGGGACGGAGAAGGCUAUGUUGGCCGGGCGACGGUUGUCCCGGUUUAAGCGUGUAGGCUGGUUUUCCAGGCAAAUCCGGAAAAUCAAGGCUGAGGCGUGAUGACGAGGCACUACGGUGCUGAAGCAACAAAUGCCCUGCUUCCAGGAAAAGCCUCUAAGCAUCAGGUAACAUCAAAUCGUACCCCAAACCGACACAGGUGGUCAGGUAGAGAAUACCAAGGCGCUUGAGAGAACUCGGGUGAAGGAACUAGGCAAAAUGGUGCCGUAACUUCGGGAGAAGGCACGCUGAUAUGUAGGUGAAGCGACUUGCUCGUGGAGCUGAAAUCAGUCGAAGAUACCAGCUGGCUGCAACUGUUUAUUAAAAACACAGCACUGUGCAAACACGAAAGUGGACGUAUACGGUGUGACGCCUGCCCGGUGCCGGAAGGUUAAUUGAUGGGGUCAGCGCAAGCGAAGCUCUUGAUCGAAGCCCCGGUAAACGGCGGCCGUAACUAUAACGGUCCUAAGGUAGCGAAAUUCCUUGUCGGGUAAGUUCCGACCUGCACGAAUGGCGUAAUGAUGGCCAGGCUGUCUCCACCCGAGACUCAGUGAAAUUGAACUCGCUGUGAAGAUGCAGUGUACCCGCGGCAAGACGGAAAGACCCCGUGAACCUUUACUAUAGCUUGACACUGAACAUUGAGCCUUGAUGUGUAGGAUAGGUGGGAGGCUUUGAAGUGUGG